rnacentral:rRNA from 1 species
AUUGAACGCUGGCGGCAGGCCUAACACAUGCAAGUCGAGCGAGCGGCGGACGGGUGCGUAAUGUAUGGGGACUGCCCGCUAGAGGGGGAUAACUACUGGAAACGGUAGCUAAUACCGCAUACUAUGCGAUAACCCCUAUGGGAUUAGCUAGUGGGUGGGGUAAUGGCUAACCUAGGCGACGAUCCCUAGCGGGUCUGAGAGGAUGCGCGGCAACACUGGAACUGAGCAACGGCCAAGACUCUGACGGAGGCAGCAGUGGGGAAUAUUGCACAAUGGGCGAAAGCCGGAUGCAGCAAUGCCGCGGGGAGGAAGAAGGCCCUAGGGUUGUAAAGUACUUUCAGUCGGGAGGCGUUACCGACAGAAGAAGCACCGGCUAACUCCGUGCCAGCAGCCGCGGUAAUUC